AGAGUUUGAUCAUGGCUCAGAACGAACGCUGGCGGCAGGCCUAACACAUGCAAGUCGAACGCUCCGCAAGGAGAGUGGCAGACGGGUGAGUAACGCGUGGGAAUUUCCCCCAAGGUUCGGAAUAACUGAGGGAAACUUCAGCUAAUACCGAAUGGUACCGAGAGGUUAAAGAUUUAUCGCCUUGGGAUGAGCCCGCGUUGGAUUAGCUAGUUGGUGGGGUAACGGCCCACCAAGGCUUUGAUCCAUAGCUGGUCUGAGAGGACGGUCGGCCACACUGGAACUGAGACACGGUCCAGACUCCUACGGGAGGCAGCAGUGGGGAAUUUUUCGCAAUGGGGGAAACCCUGACGAAGCAAUGCCGCGUGGAUGAUGAAGUAUCUCGGUACGUAAAAUCCUUUCGACGGGGACGAAACCGCAAGGUUGACGGUACCCGUAGAAGAAGCCCCGGCUAACUCCGUGCCAGCAGCCGCGGUAAUUCA
rnacentral:rRNA from 1 species